rnacentral:rRNA from 1 species
AACGAACGCUGGCGGCAGGCUUAACACAUGCAAGUCGAACGCCCCGCAAGGGGAGUGGCGGACGGGUGAGUAACGCGUGGGAAUCUACCCAUCCCUACGGAACAACUCCGGGAAACUGGAGCUAAUACCGUAUACGCCCUUAGGGGGAAAGAUUUAUCGGGGGUGGAUGAGCCUGCGUUGGAUUAGCUAGUUGGUGGGGUAAAGGCCUACCAAGGCGACGAUCCAUAGCUGGUCUGAGAGGAUGAUCAGCCACAUUGGGACUGAGACACGGCCCAGACUCCUACGGGAGGCAGGAGUGGGGAAUCCUGCGUAAUGGGCGAAAGCCUGACGUAGCCAUGCCGCGUGAAUGACGAAGGCCUUAGGGUUGUAAAGCUCUUUCAGUGGGGAAGAUAAUGACGGUACCCACAGAAGAAGCCCCGGCUAACUUCGUGCCAGCCGCCGCUGUAAUAC